ensembl:lncRNA
AGAGAUAAUAAAAUAUUCAGGGAAAAGUUCAGAUGAAGAAUAUGCUAUUAUUUUCAAAUUCCCACAUUCUGACUUUAGUACAUUUUAAUGUAUUUUCUUUUUUUAGGCAAUCCUUUCUCCAAAGGGCCAUGGAUCCCUAAAAUUUAUAUUCUCUUUCUACGUUGGAGUUAAUGGCAGUCGGAAGCCUAUUAGUUAAGGCUGAUUUAUUCAGUCAGUUUCUACAGGCAAGGAAUGGGGUUAAACUUGGGUGUGCCACUAAAAUGGACAUCAUUUGAUAAUAAGAUGCCUUACUGCCAAACUUCAGGAGUCUCCAAAGCUCUCUCUAGGCUGCAGGUCAUUCUUCAGUUUCUCUAAUUCUUGUACAAAAAACCCCCACACAAACAAACAGAUAAUAUGGAAAUAUACUGAUUUCAUGUUUUUACAAUAUGUAUAAGCUUUUGAUUCUUCAUUGGCAGCUAGCUGGUCUCCUGAGACAUGGUUCUGGAUGAUAUCCAAAAACAAAUUUAGUUUCUGAGGAGGAACAUUGUGAAAUCAGUAAGCAAGCAACCUUGCUAAUCCAAGUGAGCAAAAUACUUUAGUUGGUGGGUGCUCCAAGCAAAAUGCUUAAAGGGAUCCAAGAGUUCUAUUUCUCAUUUGACUCAGAUUCAGUUAAAUUUCAUUUCUGUGGGAUCGCGGAUGAAGAGCAUCACCAAGUGCAGAAGCUGAGCUGGUGGCCCAGUUGCUCACAGCGGGGCAGCUCACUCACUGCCUCCACACAUGCUCUUGUUUUGCCGUGAACGUGUAUCUCACAGGAGUACUCCCCUAGCAACCUACAUGCAACCCUCCAUCUCUGUCUUCAGAAAAUGAAUGCAAGCCAGUGGAAUAGGAUGGAUCCUGGAAAUCGUACUCUAAAAUGGAAUUUUGGAGAUGGACCACUCACUGGUCAUAAAUACCACGAGAACAGCUUUUCCUGCUCCAUUUAAGUUUGCCCAGUGCCAGUUUUGGUCUUGUCCCAAAGCCAAAAACAUUGGAGACAUUGACAGAAAAGAAAGUAAUGGACCAUAUUGGAAGGGCCCAGACAGUUCUGUGCAGAUUCUGCUCUAGAUGCUGGUGAGUAUUCUUACAUUUGUAAGCUGAUCCUAUCAUUCCUCUAGCAAAUGAAGAGUUGUAUAUAGGUGGUGGCUCUGAUGGGCAUCUAACUGACAGCUGCUACCAGAGUCAUCCCUCUGCUGAGAAGCAGCUUUUUCAAGUCAACAAGGUUGGAACACUAAUAGAAGAAUCCCGAUUGGCACAUGGAGGUUAGACUUGCAAAUCCUUAGUCAAAUGUCAAUAGAUAGCCAAAAAACAAACUGGCUGAAAAUUUCAUUAUCUUCUGGAAUGUGAGCAACCAUUGGGAUUGCAGUGUGGGACUUACAGGGAUAAAAAGACAAGGCAAGAUUGUGAAGGUGGAGCAUUGUUCUCAAAGGGGCAAGGAUGGUGGGUCUGGGAAUGUGGUGGCUACAUACCUCCUCAUACUGUGAGGAGGGCUCUGAGUAUGGAAAGAGAUACAUCAUUGCUGUGAAUCCCCUGCUUUCUAACAAAGUAUCCAAAUCCAGUUUUGUGGAGAUUGGCAACUGUUGGAAUUCUUUUUUAUUACUUUUAUCUUUUUAAGAGUCUUUGAAGUAAAUAGAAAUGAACUUAGGUGCAAAGGCAGCAAAUGUUCUUUAAUUGAUUAAAUUUACCCCUUGUUCAUCCACCAGGAAUUCCAAGUAAAAUGUAAAGUGAGGGCACUUUCUUAUUUUUCAUAUCAAAUGAAUUCUACUUUUCUCUGUAGCAUGUCGGAAUUUAUUUAUUGGUUCAACAUUCAUUGACUAAGGGCUUACUCUCAGAUUCUGUGUGCAACACUUUCUGGGAUUACAAAUAUGAAUAAUAAAUAGAUUGUUGCCCUUAGAGCAGGGUUGGCUUCAUGGGCAUGCAACCUGUGCAGUCACACAGAGCCCAUUGCUUAGGGGGUCUCAUGCUUGGCUUAAUGCUCAGAUGUUACUGUCUUGAAAUUCUUAGAUUUUUGAACAAGGGGCUCUGUAUUUUCUUCUUCACCGGGCCUUGCAGAUGAUGCAGCUGGUCCUACCUCAGUAACUUGUUUGAGAAAAAUACAUUCCAUGAACAAUACAAUAACGUGUCAUACAAUGUAAUAAUUUUUUUAAAAUACAGAAAGAAACUGGCAACAAGUGUACAGCAAGCGCCAUGUUAUGAAUCCCAGAGAAAGAUGUAUCUAUCUGUGCUUGUGGGAGUUCAAAUGUUUUAAUUUAGGGUGUGUUAUUUUAGUGAGAAUUUUAGUAGAAAUUUAUACUUUAUAACUGUUUCCGUCUUGCCAAGACAAUGCAAAGUUGUAUUAGUUCAUACUGAUUGGGUUAAUCUAGCAAAGCCUAUAACACGAAAAGACAGAGAUUAUGAUUUGUUGACUAACUUGACUUCUAAUUUGUCACAAAAUCUUCUUACUUCCUAUCGCCUGUCCCAUAGAACAAGCUUUUGUAUUGGGUAGUGGGGAAAGAAUAUGAUGCAAAGAAGCGUGUGUGUGUGUGUGCGCGCGUGUAUGUGUGUGUAAAUGUGCACACAAGCAUUUCAACUGGGGACAUGAAGACAUUUGUUCAUUAAUUGUUUUGCUUUGAGUUGUUAGUGGAUUGAGUUGGUAAUAAAAUAAGUAUAUCUUAAUCAUCUCAGGUGACUGGAUUAUUGAUGGGGAAGUACUAGGGGUUAAAAAAAGGUUGAGAUUUGGUGCUGAUAGAGACAAAACUUUAGGACAGGUAGGAAUGAAGAUAAUGAAAAACUAAAAAUAAAAUUACUAUAUAAGCAGUAAUACAAUAAUCCAUGUUUUGCAUUCUAGUAAGUUUCUUUGGUAAGUUAACAACAAUAGUCCUUUGUCUUUUCAUCAAAUGGGUGGAUUUUUUAAAGGAAAUAAUUAAAAUGUCAAAUUGAGCUUUGGAACACCAAAAGUUUCCAUUCUCCUCUAAGAUACUUUUUGAAGAUGCAGGCAUAUAUGCGGUCUAUAAAGAAUGCUUUAGUGUAUUACACAGGCAAUUCUCAAACAUUUUUUUAUCAUGGGAGUUUCCUUUUCAUUUUGCCCAACAUCACCCAAUGAUUCCUUUUUAAAAGUUCAAUCCCCUUGUUCUGUAUUCCUUCCAAAAAAGAAAGAAAAAAAAAAAAAGAAGAAAAGGAAAAUAAAAAAGCAACCAACCCAAAUGGAAGGACUUCUAUGUCACUUAUGAAGGAAGAGUAACACUGCCUUUUAUUUUGUUUUCAACUAUUUUAAGAAGAUAGAGUUUUCACCUGAUCCGUUGUCUACACAUCUAGAAUUAUGUCUGAUAAAAUAAGGAUAGAUUGGAUUCUGAAAGAAUGGCUAGCUGAGAAGGAAAGGCAGAGGCCUUCCUCGAUAAUAAUUUAAUGUAAUAAAAAUGGCGAAGGGGAUAUUUCAAACCUGGAGACUCAGAUGGGAGAAAAGAGAUAAAGUCAGACACGUUGAAAUAAUUCAGUUUGCCUAAUGCACAUUGAGCUACUCAGUUUAGGUAUCAUCAAAUGCCAAAUCCAUAUUUGCAGGUCCAAGUUAAGUGAGAUGUUUGCAGAGAUAAAGUUUUGAGGAAGAAAUACAUUGAAAAAAAUGUUUCUGAAAAUUCAAUAUAGAUAAAUCCUACAGAACUUUGUUAUCUAACACUAGAGCAUGUCAGCAUGGAUACAUUCUUGGAAAAUAAAGCAACAUGAAUAACUCUUACAGUUUUGCAUAUCAGAAAGAUGACUGAUUAAAGUAUGUGUUUAUUUGAAUAGGCCAGGAGCAUCUGUCUCAGUUUCAUAGAUAAGCGUGUGCGUGUUUGCGGUUAUUUUAGAACCAAGAUGCCCGGAGGGUGGAGCACACAGCUGUGGCUCUGCUACCUUCAUCAUUAUCACCAUCACCACGAUAGACAAAAAGGCACUGUACAUUCUGGGAUGCUGAGCCCCACAGUGGGAACCUAAUUAUCAGCUGCCUGAAUGUUUACAAUAUUUUCAGAUGACUGAGGUCACCCUGUCCAGCCCCAAUGCCAACCAAGAAAUGAACAUUCUUUACCACAUUCCUUACCUCCAAAAUCUCUAAGGAUUCAUGGGGUGGUUGUUUCUUCUCAUUACUCUCUGUCUCUGCUCUGAAUCUUGGCUUAUGUGACUGCUGUUCUCCCGCUUCUCCACACCACUUUGCUUCCUUCUGGACACUCACUGCCUGGAUUACUUCAACUCCCCAAAGUGCCAACGACAUGAGGCUGGGUGUGUAGCAGACUUUUACUUUGAGGAUAAUUGCUUUGAAUUGAAUGUUUUUAUCUCCCCCAAACUUAUAUAUAGAAAACCCUAAUCUCCAAUGUGAUGGUUUUUGAAAGUGGAAUCUUUGGGAGGUAAUAGGUCAUGAAGGUGGGGCUCUCAGGCUGGGAUUAGUAAUGUCCUUAUGAGAAGAGACAUGAGAGAGCUCACUUCUUCUCUGCUUGUAAGCACCAAGGAAAGACCACGUGAGGACAUAACCAGGAAGAAGGUCUUCACCAAAAUCCCAACCAUCUGGCACGCUAAGUUGUACUUUCAGCCUCCAGAACCAUGAGAAAUAAGUUGUUGUUUGAGCCACCAACUCGUUUGAGCCACUAUGGUAAUUAGUUACAGCAGCCCAAACUGAGACAGUAGUGGAGUGAUUACAGGGUGUCACUGAAGAGACAAAAUGCGAAAUAGAAUGUUAAUCAUCAUGCUCUAACAUUCAUUAACAAAUUUCUAUCCUCCUACAUUUUUGCCAUCUAUAUGCCCUCCUUAAGUUUUGUCUGGCCUUCAUCUUCUUGUCUCUGGUCCCAGUCUACCUGCUAGACUCCAGCCCCAAAAUUAUUGUUAUUUUUUUAUGCAAUGUAAUUUUGCUUUCUGUACCCUACUCUU